AGAGAAGUCCGGGGGAGCUCUCUAGUUUGUCAUCCUGUCGGGAGUGGGCGGAGGUAAAAGGAACGGAAAAAUAUAUCACCGUCCUUGAUUGGAUUUUUCUAUGUGGACAGAUUUGGCUCAGGCAUAAGCGUGUGCACAAUCACACGACACAGAUAGAUGUCGAGAAGAGAGGGGACGUAUUUCUAGAACACCUGAGGAUAGGUCGCCCAUUUACCCAACACAUCGUGUAUUACUCAAGGUAGGACAAUAAAAGGAUACCCAUCCCUAGGACAUUCUUAGAAUGCUCAAUCAAAAUCAUUACUGAGUGAAGCCACCUGAGGGGAAGAAGGAGUGAGAUCUGGAGCCCCACCACUUUAUCUCCCUACUGACCCUGGUGUCUCCAGAGGAGGUUUCUGAAUGAAAAAGGCCACUGGAUCAAUCUGAUUAGCUGGUUAAAAUAACAACAAACACUGAAACUCAUCAACCAAAAAAUGCCACAAAUCAACAGCCUUUUGCCUUUCGGGUUUCUUACUUUAAAUUAUGCUGAUUCAUUGUUGUGAAGCUCCAAUGAAAUGGUAAUGCUACAAAUAUAUGAAGUAUUGUGAUUUCUGGAGGCUCUUUUCCUUUCUUUCAUUUACUGGUGGACUUUCAGAAAAAUUAUUUUUAACACCUUUUGCUCUUAAAAUGUGGAAUAAAUAUUAUAAUUAAGGAGGAUGGAGACUGCAUAGAACAACAGAGAAGCUGGAUAUUUGUCCACAUGCAUCAUUUUUCUAGGCUGUGACUGGCUUAUACUCUACAUAGUGACUCAUUAUAAAAUAAGUAAUAAAUUCCAGUGGGUGUAAUUGUAGAGAUUUCAUCAAUAGUUGUUUCUUAAAGAGUAAAACUAGUUCAUGGUAUAUUUGUUAAUCGUUAUAAUUAUGGAAAUAAUAGCUAAUAUUUAGUGAAUGCUGACAGCCAUUUUGCUAAGUACUUCAGGUUAUCUCACUAUAUUUUCACAACAAACAUAUGGAGUAAGGAAUAUUAUAUUACCGUUUUACUUAUCCGGAAACUGAGACUCAGAAUCUUAAGAAAUUUACAAAAGGUCACAAAACAAGUAGGGGGAGGGAGUAUUUGAUGGAAUUAUUUUAACUUUAAAAACUUUUCUUUGAAAUAUAUAUAUAGGAAGAAAGUAUGUAAUUCAUAAGUGUAUACCCCAAUAAUUUUCCAUAAACUGAGCAAAUCCAUGAAACCAGCACCCACAUUAAGAAAUAGAACGUUCCCAGAACCCCAGAAGACCCCUUGAUCCAUUUCCUCUCUCUACCUCCCUAUAAAGGAUAACUAUUAUCCUGACUUGUAACAUGAAGUUUAUUCAUUCUCAUUGCCAUAUAGUAUUCCAUUCUGUGAAAUAAAAUUUUACUUCAUAAACACUGUUGAUGGACAUUUGGGUUAUUUCGAGUUUGGAACUAUUAUGGAAAAUGAUGCUAUGAACAUUCUUGUACAUUUUAUGGUGAAUAUAUGCACUCAUUUCAGAUAAGUAGAUUCUUAUGAGUGGAUAUGCUGAAUUACAGAGUAUGUGUUCAACUUUAGUAGGUACUGCCAAAAGCUGGCCAAAAUGGUUAGACCAGUUUUCCCUCCUGUGGUGGUUUGAAGCUGUUAUGUACUCCAGAAAAGGAGUUCUUUUAACCCAUUCCUGUGGGUGCAGAUCUGUUGUA